ensembl:lncRNA
AUGAUGAUAGAUGGAUCUACUUUCAACUUUAAGGACUCCAUCACAUGGUAUAUUGCUAGAAAUUGUCCCAGUGCCAAGAAGAGGCCUUCCAGAGGCAGAGGUUCUCGUGGGAAAGGCAGAGGUGCGAGAUCAACAACAACAACACAGACCCAUGCUUUCAUGGCUCCCAACAGUGCUGUUCCAGAGGGAGAACAGGUGGUUCCUCGACUCUGGAGCAACUCAUCACAUGGUGACAGAUCUGAAGAUGCUGAAGAACCUGAAGGAUACGGCAGGUACAACUGUGGCUUUGGCAGAUGGGACUGUAAGAACCGAUCAAUAAGUGUGGGACUGCAUACAUAUCUUGUUUGGGAGNNNNNNNNNNNNNNNNNNNNNNNNNNNNNNNNNNNNNNNNNNNNNNNNNNNNNNNNNNNNNNNNNNNNNNNNNNNNNNNNNNNNNNNNNNNNNNNNNNNNAUUUGGCCAGUUUGCUCAUUCCAGCAAGUCAGAGAACAAAGGGUGCGCCAAAGUGGCACAAAAUGAGGUUUCUGGGGUUCUACAAGGAUAAGCUUAAGUUUCAUAGCAGCCUAGGGAGAGUAAAAUACUCCAAAGUGGCAUAGUUUGACAAAGAUGCAGGUUGAAAUAGACUGUACUUGAACAAGGAGGCUUUGAAUGGGAAUUCCAAAGAAGCAGACAAUGCAGAAGCAGCAGGAAGUUCUGCAAAUGGAGGGAGAAAUGGCAAGAAUGCAGAAAGUGAAAAACAGAUAGUUAAGGAGGAGAAAGACUCAACUCCUGAAAAGGGAAAGGUACAAACACCACAAAAGAGUUAGCAAACCACAAUGCCCAAGGGUUCUGUAAUGAAGGAAAAAGCCAGAAAUGGAGGGGGCUAGUGUGUCUGCAUGCAAUGGACAAGACUCAGGUUUGCCACACUAUACCAUACCCAGACAGUUAGAAAGAAACCCACACCACCACAUCAAGUCACACAAUCAAGAGAUUUGUGAAAGAGUGUUUGAAUGUUAGUGUGUGAAGCAGAAUGUGUGAAACAGGUUAAACAGUGUAACAAUUAUUGAAAAUAAGUGAGGGCAAGAGCACAUGUAGACCAAAGAAGUAGUCAAGUGGUCAACAGAGUGUUGAAGUCAUGAUGAAUGUAAGAUUGUCUGAACGGAGAGUGUGAAAGUUCACAUGUUCAGAUUGUAAAGUUGUCAAAAGUGAUUGGGUGUUUGAAAGCAGAAUGCAGCAUAAGAAUGCAUGAUGGAUUCUGCAGCAGUAGGAGACUCAUGAGUGUUUAAAAAUUGGGUGUGAAAGCUUGCAUGGUCUGCGAUUGAUGAAGACAUGCAGUGCAAUUAUUCAAAAGGUACAAUUCCACUUAAAUAAGCCAGUUGAGAAAGCAGUCAACUGGCACACAUGUUUGGAUAAAGGAUUCAUAAGAAUCAGAGAUUCAAAAGGUUGAGUCAACAAAGGUAGACGUUUAAAAGUUUCAAAGGUUUUGAAAUGAUGUGUUAAACAAUGUGACAUAAUGUUUUGAUGUGAAGAAAUGUGAAAAGUGAUUGUAACAAUAAAGAUACGUUGAAAGAUCUGUAACAAUGUAUGUGCAAGAAGUUGAAAAUGUAUUGUGCAUAAGUAGUCUAUGGAACUCCAGGAGACAAGGAGAAGAGUGAUGUGUUAUUGAGUAGAGAUGUUAACAUAGUUGAAAUGCCAAACGUAGAAGCUUUAAACAACAAGAUAAAAUUUCAGGAGGGGCAUGUUGGAGUUUUGUAUUGUGAAGGUUUGAAAUUUCACUUAUGGUUUAAAGCAAUGUGCAAUGUAAUGCAGCAUUCCAGCAGUGUAAGUGUUAAAUUCAUAGAGUAGAGAGUUAUUGCUAGAGGGAAACAGUGUGCAGUUUCCGGAUAGUAACAGGACAUUCGUCACUGCACUAAAAUGUGGGUGGUGACAGUUGAGAGAUAGUGAGCUUCACUCAUGACCAUCGAUCAUGUUUUUGUUUUUUUUGUUUUGUUUUUUUUGUGUCAGGAGCAACCAGAGUUGCUUUUGGAGUGAGAGAAUUGGCCGUCUGCAAGGACGUUGCCCAGGGGACGCCCGGAUGUUUUGAUGUUUUUACCAUCCUUGUGGGAGGCUUCCUUCAUGUCACCGCAUGGAGCUGGAGCUGAUAGAGGGAGCUCAUCCACACUCUCCCCAGGUGGGAUUCGAACCUGGCAGCUUUCAGGUCAGCAACCCAACCUUCAAGUCACUUAGUCCACUACGCCAUCUGGGGGCUCCAUCGAUCAUGUUGGUAAAUACUGUUACUUCAAUAAAAGAUAAGAACCAUUGGCUUCAACCAACAGCUGAGAAGUGUGGAUUUAUUUUCUGUGCAACUAAGCAGAUUACUAGAUCGCUGGAGAAGAAGGGGAAUUGAGAUGGAAGUUGAAUGUGUCUCAAUUUAACCUUUUCCUACAAUUGAUCUUAUACGUUGAAGUCCUUUUUAUACCAAAGUAGUAUACUACCAAGUAGCAUUAAUAAUAAUUCUUAUCAUCUCACAAGUCCUACCAUUACUCUUCCAUAAAAUCAGCAUUCUGUUUUAUCAGAACAUCCAGGUCUACCUUUAUCACCAUUGUGUUGUCACAGAAUGACAGCUGAAAGUCAUCAAAAGGGUAUCAAAUCCAGUGUCCUGCCAUAGGCUAUGUACACAUCAGUUCCCCAUCCUGAUUUCAGAUCAACAAAGAUAACUAUGUACAACAGACCACAUAGAAAUGCUGUCCCCACCAAAACAACAACCUUUUUCCCUUCUCCUCCCAACCUCACUCCAGUAAAUUAUGCAAGGAGAUAAAGUAAUAUUUUAUCCUAUGCACAAAACUUUUAAAUUGUUAUAUCCAGUGUAUUUUGAGUAAUCAUGAAACAAUUGUAAUAAUUAGUUAUGAAUAAUUUCCUGUCAGGAACUAAUGCAUCAGUCCAAAAGAUUAUCUGCACUUCACUUUGUUUACCAAAAAUACCCCAAUUUUCUGGUACCCAUCUCAGGUAAAUUACUAUUCCAGUUGCUUUAUGUGGUGGGAGAAAGGUGAUCAGCAGUCAAAACAUUUUAAUUGGGCAGUUUUGUGUUACUUUUAUAGAGUCUGUUUUAGUAUAUGCAUUGAAUGAAUUGUUAAUUAUGAUAUUUAUAUUUAUUUUAGAAUAAAUCCUAGGAGAAUGCAGCACAUGCUAUAGUGGCAUCACUGUGGCCUUCACACCCACUUCUCAUGGAAUAUUUUUGAUCCUUUAAAUUGCUUCUCUUUGCAGUAUAAGCUGCCUUUCCUAUCUUGGCCAUUUCUAGAUGGUAUAGUUUAAAAAAAAUCAGUCCAGUUAUUGAUCAGGAUUUAGGAGUUUUAUGGUUCACUAUCUGAAAACUGCCUAGUUGAAAAAAGUGUUCCCGGGGGAGGUAUCCAACAGCUUCUGAGUUAUAUUCUACCACAAAUCUUCAUCUCUUGUUUCCCCAUCUGGGAAUAUGUACAUUCUGCUUUCCCUCAUCAAAAUACAUUGAGUUGCAUGUUUGAAUUAAAGAAUGGAAAUGGGGGAUUAAAGCUACACCCAUUUAUUCGUUCCAGUUGGAGCUGGCCCAUUUAAAUAAAUAAGUCUUGGUAAGUGUCACUGCUCUAGGUGAGACUGAACAUUGGAUUUAGUUGGCCUUUCAUUGAACAUUGAGAAAAAAAAGUGCUCUUCCAACAGGCACCAGCUAAUCCCUCUUCAAUGCCAGGAAUACAGCUUAAUGGUGUAACAUCAGAAAACGUUGACCAUUUCUGCUACCUUGGCAGCUAUCUCUCCACAAAAGUCAACAUUGACACUGAAAUACAACACUGCCUGAGCUCUGCGAGUGCAGCAUUUUUCCGAAUGAAGCAGAGAGUGUUUGAUGAUUGGGAUAUCCGUAGAGAUACCAAGGUGCUCGUUUAUAAAGCCAUUGUCCUCCCAACCCUGCUCUAUGCCUGCAAAACGUGGACAGUCUACAGACGCCACACUCAACUCCUGGAGCGUUUCCAUCAGCGCUGCCUCAGAAAAAUUCUGCAAAUCUCUUGGGAAGACAGGCGAACAAAUGCCAGUAUGUUGGAAGAAGGAAAGACCACCAGCACUGAAGCGAUGCUCCUAUGCCAUCAACUCAGCUGGACUGACCACAUUGUCCGAAUGCCCGAUCACCGUCUCCCAAAGCAGUUAGUCCCAACUCAAGAAGAGAAAAUGGAAUGUUGGUGGACAGGAAAAGAGAUUUAAAUAUGGACUCAAAGCCAACCUUAGAAACUAUGGCAUAGACACUGAGAACUGGAAAGCCCUGGCCCGUGAGCACUCUAAUUGGAGGUCAGCUGUGACCAGCAGUGCUGCAGAGUUCAAAGAGGCAUGAAUGGAGGGCUUAAGGAAGAAACUUGCCAAGAAGAAGGUGCACCAAGCCAACCCUGACCGGGACUGUCUUCCACCUGGAAACCGAUGUCCUCACUGCGGGAGAUCAUGUGGAUCAAGAAUAGGUCUCUUCAGCCACCUGCGGACACACCCCCAAGACACCAGAAAUGGAGGACCAUCAUCCUCGGUCUAUGAGGGAUUGCCUAAGUAAGUAAAUAAGUAAAUCUGAUGCUUUUAUAUCAGUUAGAGAAUACUGAUGUAAUGAAACAGGGAAAAAAUUUCAGCUUUGCUAGAUCUCUAUAUGUGAUUUUAUUUUGUGUUAUUAUCUCUCACCAAUAUGAAAUAGCGGCAGUUCAGAGUUCCACCUUGUUUUGUAUGUUUUACAGCAUCCACUUAAGCCAGCCCUAGGUAAUUUUCAAGUGUAAGCAAACAGAUUUUUGCCGCCCCCCCAAACCAAUCACUGAAAAAUAAAAGCGUUGGAUAAGCAAAAAUGUUGGAUAAUAAGGAGGGAUUAAGGAAAAGCCUAUUAAACAUCAAAUUACAUUAUGAUUUUACAAAUUAAGCACCAAAACAUCAUGUUUUACAACAAAUAAACAGAAAAAGCAGUUCAAUACAUGGUAAUGUUAUGUAGGAAUUACUAUAUUUGUGAAUUUAGCAUCAAACAUUGAACUGGGAUAUAGGGCAGUGUGGACUCAGAUAACCCAGUUCAAAGCAGAUAUUGUGGGUUAUUCUACUUUGAUAUUCUGGGUUAUAUGGCUGUGUGGAAGAGCCCUGAGGGUCCUUCCACACAGCCAUAUAACCCAGAAUAUCAAGGCAGAUAAUCCACAAGUAUGUUUCAGUCUACUUGGAAUACACGAAGCGUGUUUAAGAACCAGUCCAAGAGUCCAGAAGAGCCUUGAUGCUCCAUAUGACCAUCAUCCCACUUUCUUUGCUAGUUAACUUGAACCCAGUAUGCUUUAUUAUGCCAAUUGUUUGCCUUAGAUGAGGCAUGAGGCUAACUUCAUCCCUCCGGGUGUUU